UGCGUAGGUGGUUUCUUAAGUCAGAGGUGAAAGGCUACGGCUCAACCGUAGUAAGCCUUUGAAACUGAGAAACUUGAGUGCAGGAGAGGAGAGUAGAAUUCCUAGUGUAGCGGUGAAAUGCGUAGAUAUUAGGAGGAAUACCAGUUGCGAAGGCGGCUCUCUGGACUGUGACUGACACUGAGGCACGAAAGCGUGGGGAGCAAACA
rnacentral:rRNA from 1 species